rnacentral:piRNA from 1 species
CCAGGCUAGAGUACGGAGAAGGGAUC